rfam:Serratia odorifera DSM 4582 genomic scaffold SCAFFOLD1, whole genome shotgun sequence.
AUUCCAAUUACCCAGGGGAUCCCGGAUAAUACGCCCCCGGUUUGCAACGUUCCCCAACCGCAGGCAGGCGACGUGGGUAGGGUGGGCGAGCAACAAAUACACAGCGUGAAGCAUGCUGGUCAUCACCGGGAAAUCAGGAGCGUACAUGUAC